ncrna:length=4268
AAAACGGCCCUUUUCAGGGCCACCAAAAAAAUAUAAAAAUAAAAA